rnacentral:rRNA from 1 species
AUUCCAGCUCCAAUAGCGUAUAUUAAAGUUGUUGCGGUAAAAAAGCUCGUAGUUGGAUUUCUGUUGAGGGCGUCCGGUCCGUACCACGUACGCGUAUCUGGGUCGCGCUCGGCAUCCUCUCGAAGAACGGUUCUCGCGCUUGAUUGCGUGGUCCGGGUUUCGGGACUUUACUUUGAGGAAAUUAGAGUGUUCACGGCAGGCAAUUGCCCGGAUACAUUAGCAUGGAAUAAUACUAUAGGAUUUUGGUUCUAUUUUGUUGGUUUCUAGGACUAAAAUAAUGAUUAAUAGGGACAAUUGGGGGCAUUCGUAUCAACACGCUAGAGGUGAAAUUCUUGGAUUGUGUUGCGACGAACUACUGCGAAAGCAUCUGCCAUGGAUGUUUUCAUUG